CUAGAAAAGUUGAUAAAACUCAGGGUCAAAAACCCCUCAAUACAUACUAGGUAAGCAAUCUAAAGUGUACCAGAGGUAAGAAAAAAUCUGGAUUUAGACACUACAUUCUUAUGUUUAAUGAGUAAUUAGCCACUUUGCUGCACAGAAACUCACAAUUAUUCCCUUAAAACUCUUUAAAAAGUAAAAACUCAUUUGCCUCUAUAAUUACAAAACAUGAGUUGAUAUCUUGAACAACUACAUUUAAAAUCCACGAUCAAACUCAGGAGGCAACUUUCAGUUAGUGCUAAACUGCAGACUUCCCAGGAUUCUAGUCACAUGUGUAUCCGGCUUUGAAGAGGAACCCAAAGUCAUUGCUGUCCAGCCCCCAUGCCGGCUGGCGCCUCUGCCUUUCAGGAGGGAGAGUGAGGGGAGAGGGAAGGACCAAGAAUGGCCACCAAGAAGGCCUUUUAAGUUUAAAUAACAUUGGGUCAUUUCCCCUACUUAAAACCAUCCACUGACAGAGAAGGGUGGCUUUUAACUGGACCAUCAGCCAAGAAAUCUGCUCAACUCAAUACCUGGCUUGGAAAAGUCAGAGCCAAAACCUACAUCUUCGAGGCGGCAGAGCCUGAGUCCUGCGUGCACGGCUCCAGGUGACACCACUCCCCCACGUUACAAACCACCACAAUGAGCGCUCCGGCACCCGGCCUCCGAGUCUUCACACGCAUUUCACAAAGACACAAUGCCAGCUCCAGUUCCUUCCUGAAAACAGUCUCGUUCCGUUAACACUCAACAUUCUCGACGAGUGACUGUGAGAGCA
rnacentral:lncRNA from 1 species